AUACGUAGGUGGCGAGCGUUGUCCGGAAUUACUGGGUGUAAAGGGCGUGUAGGCGGGGAGGCAAGUCAGAUGUGAAAUCCCGAGGCUCAACUUCGGAGCUGCAUCUGAAACUGUUUUUCUUGAGUACUGGAGAGGAAAGUGGAAUUCCUAGUGUAGCGGUGAAAUGCGUAGAGAUUAGGAGGAACACCAGUGGCGAAGGCGGCUUUCUGGACAGUAACUGACGCUGAGGCGCGAAGGCGUGGGGAGCAAACAGGAUUAGAUACCCUGGUAGUCCACGCCGUAAACGAUGGAUACUAGGUGUGGGAGGUAUCGACCCCUUCCGUGCCGGAGUUAACACAAUAAGUAUCCCACCUGGGGAGUACGGCCGCAAGGCUGAA
rnacentral:rRNA from 1 species